UCCAGUUGUAGGCAACUGCCUAGGUUGCCUUGUACCUAGGCAAGUGUUACACUGCUGGGAGAAAAGCAACCAGUAGCUGGUGGGCUUUCAGAGCCUGAUUAAUGCCAAGUUUGUAUUAGCUCAACCAGUAUGCCAACAUA
ensembl:snoRNA SNORA74 Small nucleolar RNA SNORA74